rnacentral:rRNA from 1 species
GACGAACGCUGGCGGCGUGCUUAACACAUGCAAGUCGAACGGACCUUCGGGUUAGUGGCGAACGGGUGAGUAACACGUGGGUGAUCUGCCCUGCACUUUGGGAUAAGCCUGGGAAACUGGGUCUAAUACCGGAUAGGACUACGCACUGCAUGGUGUGUGGUGGAAAGCUUUUGCGGUGUGGGAUGGGCCCGCGGCCUAUCAGCUUGUUGGUGGGGUGAUGGCCUACCAAGGCGACGACGGGUAGCCGGCCUGAGAGGGUGACCGGCCACACUGGGACUGAGAUACGGCCCAGACUCCUACGGGAGGCAGCAGUGGGGAAUAUUGCACAAUGGGCGCAAGCCUGAUGCAGCGACGCCGCGUGAGGGAUGACGGCCUUCGGGUUGUAAACCUCUUUCGCCAGGGACGAAGCGCAAGUGACGGUACCUGGAGAAGAAGGACCGGCCAACUACGUGCCAGCCGCCGCAGUAAGAC